CUGGAUCCUGAGGUUGAUCUCUGUUGGCACAGUUGCCCAGACACACUUACAAGCUUAUCAGCCUAAUGGGUUUCAGUCCAUUACAAUGAACAAUGGGAUUCAGUCUAUUACAAUGAACACUGUGUGACCAAUUUCAGGGUGCAGGUGAGCACCUAUGGGAGAUAUGAGAAACCCACCUUUUACCAUGGCAUUCAAAGCGAAGAUGUUUCAGACAUAACACAUCGUGACACUGGAACAGAGCUAAACUCUUAAAGAAAGGAGGGGCGACGAGCAAAAAGGAACUAACACAAACACAGCGUGGAGACAAGAAGCAACGGAGCAACCAAUCAUCACACCAGUACAAGAAGCUCUUUUCCACCUACCACUGCAAGGCCAGAUCCACGCGUCCAAUUGCGAGGCUGGAGCUGGUUUCAGACGAGAACUGUGACCCGACCACAGCAACAACCAGCACUCAGGUGGAAACCAGAAUCUCCUGAGGAAACCCAUGUGACCUGAGGAGAAUAUGCAAGCCGCACAUAAACAGAGGCAAGACGAGAACGACAGUGUGACAGUGCUACAUGUGGCCGCCCAAGGGCAGUAACUCUUACAGGUCAAAUCUUUAAAAGCAAAAAACCCUGAGAAGUGAACAGCAUUAGUAUGUUGCUGAAAUGUGCAAAGUGCUUCACUCUCUCACUCUUAUGCUCCUUCAGCCUUUUAAUCAGGGACAGUCCAAUAAGAGGCACUCCUGCUGUAAUCAGAAAGGCUGCAGCCCCAAAUAUAAGAGGCAGCUACUCCUCAGGCCGUAAGAUGUGUAAAGCGCGGGGCACCUCGGACAGCGUCACCGCGAAGCCGUGAUUAACGCGGCAUCUGCGAGGAAAGCAGGGCAGAACGUCAAGCGCUGCAGUUAGACCCGGCAAGGAGGAGCCCCGUCUCCGGGCCGAGUGCGAAUUCACGACACUCAUUGCAAUCCAUCCUUAUCAGUCACAGUGAAAGCAGAACAAAUUGCCCAGGAAUGUCUAGGACAUUCUGCAAGGACUUUGCAGUCUUAAAAGAUGAGCUGAAGCAGGCAUGGAGAGCCUGUAUCCUUUCAUUACGUUUAUUUUAUGGACGCUUUUACACAAAGCAAUGUACAAGAGAGGACAGCUUGGGAUCAGAGAGCAGGUCAGCCAGUGUCCCUGAAGCAGCUGGGGUUAAGGGCCUUCCUCAAGGGCCCAACAGUGAUAUGAUUACUGGGCAGGCCAUGGGAUUUGAACCCGUGACCUUCUGGGCAGAUCCGUACCUUGCUGGACUCCACACCACAUACAGAACCACUCGACUCGGCCCUCUCUCAUCCUGUUCAGUCUGUGCAGGUAUCAGGAAACGAAUCAACAGCGAAACAGCAGGAUAGGCAUCAGGUGAGGAUGUGUAAGUGCAUGUCAGCUCCCAGUGUAUGAUGUGUGUCAGAAGAGGACAUGCAGCAGGCCAGGGGAGGCCCUUCUGGGUAGAACCCGUAGCACAGGUCCCAGGUCAGUCUGCGCGUGUGCUCCUUGCGCCAAGGUUAUUCCUUUCCAAGCUAAUUGAUCCGCGAGUGUUUAAUGCGCUUUGAAAUGAGCUGCUCCCCUCGCGCUAAUAGAGCAGAAUUAAUCUAAUGGCAGGUACAAGACGUGAGGUCUGUCAUCUCCCUCCCGACGCCGAUCCGACGUGAAUAACGAGCCCACCUGGCUGCUGGAAUUCU